CAGCUGGUUAGCAAGAUUACACAGACGUUCUCUGAAACAAUCUCAGUGCAUGCCAUGGGAUGCAACUGGGUUAUUGGGAACAGGGUUAGGUAUAUUAAAUAGCACUGAUGCUGAGGUCCUAAUGAGUAGAAUAACUGCUACUACAGAUGACCUAAGGAAAUUGGAACGACCAAUAAAAUUAUCUUCAUUGGCCUUAGGAGCAAAUCAAUGGCUUCUAUGAGAUGUUUUACCCCAUUGGGAACAAAUUGAAGAAAAUGAUCAUCAAUUAAUUGUAAAUGCCCUUGGAAAAACUCAAGUCAAUACCUCCCUUGCCUUGAGCUGCAACCAAGCGCAGUUAUCGAUACAAUCUGUAGCAGCAGCUAUUAUUAGAGAGGGAAAAGGAGGAACCUUACCCACUGAAAUUUGAAAAUUUAUUUGGGAUAAUGCUUCAGAAUUUGAAAAGGAGUUUCAAGCAUGGUGGCAAUUAGUCAACUUUACCUAUUAUGCAGAAAAUGAUAAAAUUGUUGCCUUUAUACUUAACGUAUGUAAUGCCACCGUAUACAAUGUAUAUCCAAUCAUUGCAUUAGGACUCAAUCAUAAUGGAACUAUACUUUAUCCUAAGGAGCAUAGAGUAUGGGCCCAUCAAAAGGGAGGAAAGUGGCAACCAAUUGAUGUGAAUGUGUAAUAACAUGCUCAAAGCCCAAGACAUUUAUCUUGACACUGAACAAAAUAUUUGCCACUUGGAGUUACAUCCUAAUGAAACCCUUGAAACUGUACUUGUAUAUAUUGGGACAGGCUAUGCUUGCAUGAGAACCCAUUGUGAUUCUAUAGUCAUAGAUAAUACAAUUGUAGAUACCAGUAAUCACUCUAAUGUUUGUGUUUGUAAUUUUACCAAAAUUCUAGGAUGUGAUUUUAGUUACUCAGCUCCUGUCAACUCUUAUCAACUGAUUGCAUCCAAUUAUAUUCUGCUUCAUGAUCUGCUGCCUACUCCUAUUGGAAUGAACCUCACCUUGGUGAAGAAAUUACUAACGCAUGAGGACUUGAGGCAGCUGAUGAAACAAGUUCGAGAAAAUGGACAAAAGAUCCUGAUAACUGUCCAUCAUGAUGCAUAAGAAAUACAUCAAGUGCUGUUAAUACUCACUGUAUUAUGCUUUAUACUGACAAUUAGUUUGUACGUUAAACUCUGGAUUAUGAUGAAACGUUUAGCAUUCCUACACAAUGUACAUACACUUGAUAAACCUCGUCCCAAGAAUGUAUGUGAUAUCCCUGACAUAUUUCAAAUGUCGUGAAGCUUGAGUGACUGUAGUCAUGGGGUGGAUUAUGUGGUGAAAUUGCCUAAAGUAACUAGGAAAAUAAAACUAACAUUCAUAUUUUAAA